UACAGAGGUGGCAAGCGUUGUUCGGAAUUACUGGGCGUAAAGCGCACGUAGGCGGCUUUCUAAGUCGGGGGGUGAAAUCCUGGAGCUCAACUCCAGAACUGCCUUCGAUACUGGAGAGCUCGAGUCCGGGAGAGGUGAGUGGAACUGCGAGUGUAGAGGUGAAAUUCGUAGAUAUUCGCAAGAACACCAGUGGCGAAGGCGGCUCACUGGCCCGAUACUGACGCUGAGGCACGAAAGCGUGGGGGAGCAAACAGG
rnacentral:rRNA from 1 species